CUGGCGGCAGGCUUAACACAUGCGAGUUGAGCGGGAUGGUUAGUAGCUUGCUAUUAACCAUGAGAGCAGCGCACUGGUGAGUAACACGUGGGAACAUACCUUUUGGUGGGGGACAACAGUUGGAAACGACUGCUAAUACCGCAUAAGCCCUGAGGGGGAAAGAUUUAUUGCCGAAAGAUUGGCCCGCGGAAGAUUAGGUAGUAGGUGGGGUAAUGGCCUACCUAGCCAACGAUCUAUAGCUGGUCUGAGAGGACGAUCAGCCACAUUGGAACUGAGACACGGUCCAGACUCCUACGGGAGGCAGCAGUGAGGAAUAUUGGGCAAUGGAGGGAACUCUGACCCAGCCAUGCCGCGUGAGUGAAGAAGGUUUUCGGAUUGUAAAGCUCUUUCGGACGGGAAGAUGAUGACGGUACCGUCUAAAGAAGCACCGGCUAACUUCGUGCCAGCCGCUGC
rnacentral:rRNA from 1 species